GCGGAGGAAAAGAAACCAACAGGGAUUGCCCUAGUAACGGCGAGUGAAGCGGCAACAGCUCAAAUUUGAAAUCUGGCUCUUUCAGGGCCCGAGUUGUAAUUUGCAGAGGGCGCUUUGGCGUUAGCAGCGGUCCAAGUUCCUUGGAACAGGACGUCACAGAGGGUGAGAAUCCCGUACGUGGUCGCUAGUUUUCGCCGUGUAAAGCCCCUUCGACGAGUCGAGUUGUUUGGGAAUGCAGCUCUAAAUGGGAGGUAAAUUUCUUCUAAAGCUAAAUACUGGCCAGAGACCGAUAGCGCACAAGUAGAGUGAUCGAAAGAUGAAAAGCACUUUGGAAAGAGAGUCAAACAGCACGUGAAAUUGUUGAAAGGGAAGCGCUUGCAGCCAGACUUGCCUGUAGUUGCUCAUCCGGGCUUUUGCCCGGUGCACUCUUCUGCGGGCAGGCCAGCAUCAGUUUGGGCGGUUGGAUAAAGGUCUCUGUCAUGUACCUCCUUUCGGGGAGGCCUUAUAGGGGAGACGACAUGCAACCAGCCUGGACUGAGGUCCGCGCAUCUGCUAGGAUGCUGGCGUAAUGGCUGUAAGCGGCCCGUCUUGAAACACGGACCAAGGAGUCUAACAUCUAUGCGAGUGUUUGGGUGUCAAGCCCAAGCGCGUAAUGAAAGUGAACGGAGGUGGGAUCCCUUUAGGGUGCACCAUCGACCGAUCCUGAUGUCUUCGGAUGGAUUUGAGUAAGAGCAUGGCUGUUGGGACCCGAAAGAUGGUGAACUAUGCUUGAAUAGGGUGAAGCCAGAGGAAACUCUGGUGGAGGCUCGCAGCGGUUCUGACGUGCAAAUCGAUCGUCAAAUUUG
rnacentral:ncRNA from 2 species